ACGGAGCAAUACCGCGUGAGGGAGGAAGGCUCUUGGGUCGUAAACCUCUUUUAUCAGGGAAGAACACAAUGACGGUACCUGAUGAAUCAGCAUCGGCUAACUCUGUGCCAGCAGCCGCGGUAAUACAGAGGAUGCAAGCGUUAUCCGGAAUUAUUGGGCGUAAAGCGUCCGCAGGUGGUUUUGAAAGUUUGCUGUCAAAGCGCGAGGCUCAACUUCGUACCGGCGGUGAAAACUUCAAGACUAGAGUUUGGUAGGGGUCACGGGAAUUCCCAGUGUAGCGGUGAAAUGCGUAGAUAUUGGGAAGAACACCAGCGGCGAAAGCGCGUGACUGGGCCUGAACUGACACUCAUGGACGAAAGCUAGGGGAGCG
rnacentral:rRNA from 1 species